CUCGUAGGCGGCCAACUAAGUCAGACGUGAAAUCCCUCGGCUUAACCGGGGAACUGCGUCUGAUACUGGAUGGCUUGAGGUUGGGAGAGGGAUGCGGAAUUCCAGGUGUAGCGGUGAAAUGCGUAGAUAUCUGGAGGAACACCGGUGGCGAAGGCGGCAUCCUGGACCAAAUCUGACGCUGAGGAGCGAAAGCCAGGGGAGCAAACG
rnacentral:rRNA from 1 species